AUACAUAUGUCCCGAGUGUUACCCGGAAUAAUUGGGUGUAAAGGGUUCGUAGGCGGAUAAGAAAGUUGGACAUGAAAGACCGAAGCUCAACUUCGUGUUUGUAUCCAAAACUCCUUAUCUAGAAUUAGGGAGAGGUAAGCGGAAUUCUAAGUGUAGGGGUGCAAUCCGUAGAUACUUAGAGGAACACCGAAAGCGAAGGCAGCUUACUGGAACUAUAUUGACGCUGAGGAACGAAAGCGUGGGUAGCGAAAAGGAUUAGAAACCCCUGUAGUCC
rnacentral:rRNA from 1 species